GACCAAUUUGAAGUUGCUGAUUUUUUAUUAUACAUGAAGAGCCUAUACAAACAAACGUAGACUAUGAAUUUAAAGGAUCAUUUAAAACAAUAGAAGUCGUCCAUGAAAUUUGAUGUAAUCUGAAAGAAAUUAAUUUAAAAUGGACACAUAAAUAUGUAAACGACAGACAGACAUUGGUGACCAAUUCAGAGAGAAGCAAUGUAGUGAUACUGUAACGGAGUGUUGUUAAAUUUACUUUUUGUGGGCCCUACUACCGGAUUUUCUGUGUCCAUGGUAAUGAGGUGAGACGACAAGUCUGGUAGAAAUCGGGUGUUAAUGCCAUGGAGAGUGACGUAUUCCUAUUGGAGAUUGCAUGAUGUUGUGAUUAUAAUGAUGGCUUAGAAGGGGGUGAUGUUGAAGAAGGGAUAAAUAAACAGAAGGUAAGAGAGCUGUACAUAAUCAGUAAUGGAUUUCCUGAAAUGAAACAUUUUGAUUGAUUUUUGGGUUUUAGAGCGUUGUAAGGUAUGUCGCGAAGCGCAACGCGAUCAAUUACUGCUCCAGUUUUGACAAUUGACGUAACGAAGAAAGAUUUCCAAGUUAUUACUACUUUGAUUUGUUAAUAAGGGUGUAGUUUUUGUAAACCAAGACAACUUUAUUGGUUAUUAGAACUUUAUUGAGUUCUUUAUACUUCUAUUUUCAUUUCGUUGUAAAGUAGUGAUAGAAACGUCAGGAGUGACUUUGUCAUGUGAUCUUGUUGUGAAAUCAUUAUCAGAUUACAAUACAAGAACAUGUGUGCUGUGGGGUGGUCGUAUCGGAGCAGUUUGGACCAAUUUUUUGAGAACGGGAGAUGAUUUGAAUUCGAGGAAUAAACGAUGUGGCGUCAUCGCUUUAACAGAGUUUGGUUUGAGAGUCGCAUGAGCCGAGACUAGAUAAUGAGUUGAAUCAACGAUAGUUAACACUCUCCUCUCAGACAUCGAGCGGACAACAACUCUUAUGGCUGCCAAACAACUCGCUGUGCUGUAGUGGAAUAUUAAGUGUGGAAUAAAGUCUCCAGCCAAAAUUCAAUUUCUACAGAACAUGCCCGCAUGGGCCUGAUUGAGCAAAUAUUACUACUUGUGGUCCUUGGACAUGUACUGAGAGUGAGCCUUUUUUAAGAUGGAUCGAUUAUGCAACCGUGAUCACGGGCAGACGAGAUGAUCACGUGAUCACGGAUGACGUAAAGGAACCGAAACGUCGGGAUUAAGUAGUUAUAAAAUAACAAAACGACGGUAGUUUAUACGAAAAAUUUAAUUUAUUGGUAUUAAUGGAAUUCCUUGUACUACGGGAGGCUAUGAACAUGAAAUCAUAUAAGGUAGGAACCGCGUUAUGAGAUUAAAUGAGGGUUAUACCUUUUUUUAACGUAUUAUACUCGUUAAUAAUUAAAGAUAAUUCAACAUUUCAGACAUCGUUAAAGAUUGUAUGAUUAAAAUGUUGUAACUGAUACUAAUAACUGAAUAAUCCUUUCUUAACUAACAUGUUAUUUCAAUUUUAUGUACUAAAUAACAAUUAAUUCUGAUAAUAAUUAUUUCUUAACUAGUCGUCUAUUAUCAAGGCUCAAAAUUUGACAGAAUUUUUAAUUUUAUAUUUUCAUAUAAAAUUUUGUCAUUGCCAUUUAUAGGUUGAUUUAUAAUCACACGAUUCCAAAAGUUUUACAACAACGUAAGAUUCCUAUUUGAUUUGAAUCGUAUGGGAUCGUUGUUACGUAAUUCGAGAUGUUUUUAAACACCACACGUGUCACAAUACGGUUGUCAUUGAUUCAACUUUUAUUUGUCGAUUGAAUUCUAAACAUUAUAAUAAUAACUAUUUCAUUUAAAUUAAUAAAACUUAAUUUGAUUUGAACGUUAGUUUGGCUGAUUCAUUUCUUGUGCACUCAAUUGAAGCUAAGUAUUUAUUUAAUACAAUUAAAAUUAAAGUCGAUAUUAGUGUUAAAAACAAACAAAAAUAUUUAUUUAUGUACAACGUAAAAUAAUUACUUUUUGGCACACCAGGAAUGUUAAUCGUCUUUAGAAUAAGUUUACUGGCGGUUAAAACCAAAUUUAACUGUUAAUAAUGACGUUUUUGCUCGAAGUUAAAACUAAUGAGAUAAUUUUAGGACACAAUGCAACGUUAUUUAGUACAAACAUACGGGUUACUUCAAAGAAACGAGACACGUGCGUUGUAAGAGCUGAUAUAGUUAAAUUAUUUUAAUUAAUUGACAUUCCUACAAUAAUACAUUUUCUAUAUUUUUUACAAAUGUUUCUG